rnacentral:rRNA from 1 species
AACGAACGCUGGCGGCAGGCCUAACACAUGCAAGUCGAACGCUCGUAGCAAUACGGGAGUGGCGCACGGGUGAGUAACGCGUGGGAACGUGCCCUUUAGUACGGGAUAACACCGGGAAACUGGUGCUAAUACCGUAUACGCCCUUCGGGGGAAAGAUUUAUCGCUAAAGGAUCGGCCCGCGUCAGAUUAGCUAGUUGGUGGGGUAACGGCCUACCAAGGCUCCGAUCUGUAGCUGGUCUGAGAGGAUGAUCAGCCACACUGAAACUGAGACACGGUUCAGACUCCUACGGGAGGCAGCAGUGGGGAAUAUUGGACAAUGGGGGAAACCCUGAUCCAGCCAUGCCGCGUGAGUGAUGAAGGCCUUAGGGUUGUAAAGCUCUUUUGCCAGGGAAGAUGAUGACGGUACCUGGAGAAUAAGCACCGGCUAACUUCGUGCCAGCCGCCGCCGUAA